CCUGGUUGAUCCUGCCAGUAGUCAUAUGCUUGCCUGAAAAAUUAAGCCAUGCAUGUGUAAGUAUGAACAAAUUCAGACUGUGAAACUGCGAAUGGCUCAUUAAAUCAGUUAUAGUUUGUUUGAUGGUAUUUGCUACUCGGAUAACCAUAGUAAUUCUAGAGCUAAUACGUGCAACAAACCCUGACUUCUGGAAGGGAUGCAUUUAUUAGAUAAAAGGUCGACGAGGGCUUUGCCCCUUACUCUGAUGAUUCAUGAUAUCGACGGAUCGCACGGCCUUUGUGCCGGCAAUGCAUUAUUCAAAUUUUUGCCAUAUCAACUUUCGAUGGUAGGAUAGUGGCCUACUAUGGUGGUGACGGGUGACGGAGAAUUAGGGUUCGAUUCCGGAGAGGAAGCUUGAGAAAUUGCUACCACAUCCAAGGAAGGCAGCAGGCGCACAAAUUACCCAAUCCUGACACGGGGAGGUAGUGACAAUAAAUAACAAUACCGGGCUCCAUGAGUCUGGUAAUUGGAAUGAGUACAAUCUAAAUCACAAUACUGGGCUCUGUGAGUCUAGUAAUUAGAAUGAGUACAAUUUAAAUCCCUUAACGAGGAUCCAUUGGAGGGCAAGUCUAGUGCCAGCAGCCGCGGUAAAUCCAGCUCCAAUAGCGUAUAUUUAAGUUGUUACAGUGAAAAAGCUCAUAGUUGGACUUAGGUGUGGGUCAGCCGAUCUGCUUCACGAUGAGCACCGAUCUACUUGUCCCUGCUACCGGCCAUGCGCUCCUGGCCUUAAUUGGCGGGGUCGUUCCUCUGGCUCUUUUACUUUGAAGAAAUUAGAGUGCUCAAAGCAGGCCUACACUUGUAUACAUUAGCAUGGGAUAACAUCAUAGGAUUUCAAUCCUAUUGUGUUAGCCUUCGGGAUCGGAGUAAUGAUUAACAAGGACAGUCGGAGGCAUUCAUAUUUCAUAGUCAAAAGUGAAAUUCUCAGAUUUAUGAAAGACGAACAACUACGAAAGCAUUUGCCAAGGAUGUUUUCAUUAAUCAAGAAUGAAAAUUGGGGGCUCGAAAAUGAUUAGAUACUGUCCUAGUCUCAAUCAUAAACAAUGCCGACCAGGGAUCGGAUGAUGUUGCUUUUAGGACUCCGUCGGCACGUUAUGAGAAAUCAAAGACUUUGGGUUCUGGAGGGAGUAUGGUCGCAAGGUUGAAACUUAAAGGAAUUGAUGGAAGGGCACCACCAGGAGUGGAGCCUGCGACUUAAUUUGACUCAACACGGGGAAACUUACUAGGUCCAGACAUAGUAAGGAUUGACAGGCUGAGAGCUCUUUCUUGAUUCAAUGAGUGGUGGUGCAUGGCCGUUCUUAGUUGAUGGAAUGAUUUGUCUAGUUAAUUCCAUUAAUGAAUGAGACCUCAGCCUGCUAACUAGCUACACGGAGGUGAUCCUCCGUGGCUAGCUUCUUAGAGGGACUAUGGCCUUUUAGGCCUCGGAAGUUUGAGGCAAUAACAGGUCUGUGAUGCCCUUAGAUGUUCUGGGCCGCACGCCCACUACACUGAUGUAUUCAACGAGUCUAUAGCCUUAGCCGAUAGGCCCGAGUAAUAUUUGAAAUUUCAUCGUGAUGGGGAUAGAUCAUUGCAAUUGUUGGUCUUCAACAAGGAAUUCCUAGUAAGGCGAGUCAUCAGGUCGCGUUGACUACGUCCCUGCCCUUUGUACAUACGCCCGUCGUUCCUACAGAUUGAAUGGUCUGGUGAAGUGUUCGGAUCGCGGCGACGUGGGUGGUUCACUGACCGCGACGUCUCGCGAAGUCCACUGAACCUUAUCAUUUAGAGGAAGGAGAAGUCGUAACAAGGUUUCCGUAGGUGAACCUGCGAAAG
rnacentral:rRNA from 1 species